AUGAAAAAUAUGCACGAUUUCGGAGAAGCCUCCGGACUACACAUCAACCCUUCAAAGUCGACGGCUUUACCCAUCAGAUGUGAGAACAUAGACCUAGGGUUUGUGUUGCAAAAUUUCGGAGGGGCAGAGGGGCAAUUCCCGACCACCUAUUUAGGCCUGCUGCUGACACUAGCUAGACUACGACUAGCAAACCUACAAUUCAUCAUAGACAGGAUCAAGGCUCGACUUGUAGGAUGGAAAGGAAAACUCCUGCCAAUAGCCAGUAGGCGAGUAUUG
rnacentral:rRNA from 1 species